ACUAAUAAUAUAUAUAUAUAUAUAAUACCCACUAAUUAAACUGUAAUUAAUAUUGAGAACUUGAGACAAAACUAAUUAAUGCAUCACCAUUUCCAAAAUUUUACUUAUCAUCCAUGGAUUUUCUUGGCCUGCAAACACAGCCAAUCAAAACAACAAACGGAUCAUUAUUAAAGCAGAGAGUUUAUGGGUUAGUAAUAGUAGUAUGUGUAUUUGAAACUACCACUGCACCUAUGUCAGAGAGGAUCAGGCUGAAUGAAUCUCUCUUAUUACCUGACCAACUCUUAGGAGUGGUUUUAAGUUUUAAGAACAACGAAUGAAAUACUAAUGGUCUUACAUUUUCUCCAUUGCCUUUGGAGUUACGAGUUGCCAUAGCUGCUUGAUCACCAGGAAUGAAAGGUCUGCCAUGAGAACGACCACCAGGAGGAGGCAACGCAGAAGAGUGAGUCUCGGGUCCUCUAUAAUCAAUCUCGUAAAUUUCUGGCUCUGUUACUUCAGAUCCUCCUACACACCCAACAAAACAAGGACGAAACUUAGCUAAAUUAACCAUGCAUCCUCUUAUUUACAACCACAGCUAAAUGAAGUUCUUGAUUCUAAGUGCAGAGACCUCUUGCUCUUGAAAUGCAAGGCAAGACAAGAAGGAGGAGUAGGAGAAAGAUGGAGGUGAUACUACACUUGAUCUUCAUAGAAUAAUCACAAUUUUUUUGAUGAUGGGGUUCAGGUCUCACAAGCUAUAGCUUGCCAGCUAUAUAUGUAUAUCUAUAUACUCAUUUACACUUUUGUAUACAUGUAAAGAGGAUGAAGAAGCAGCAGAAGAAGGAGAAGAAGAAGAAGA
rnacentral:misc_RNA from 1 species